AAAAUUAGCGGAUGACUUGUGGCUGGGGGUGAAAGGCCAAUCAAACCGGGAGAUAGCUGGUUCUCCCCGAAAGCUAUUUAGGUAGCGCCUCGUGAAUUCAUCUCCGGGGGUAGAGCACUGUUUCGGCAAGGGGGUCAUCCCGACUUACCAACCCGAUGCAAACUGCGAAUACCGGAGAAUGUUAUCACGGGAGACACACGGCGGGUGCUAACGUCCGUCGUGAAGAGGGAAACAACCCAGACCGCCAGCUAAGGUCCCAAAGUCAUGGUUAAGUGGGAAACGAUGUGGGAAGGCCCAGACAGCCAGGAUGUUGGCUUAGAAGCAGCCAUCAUUUAAAGAAAGCGUAAUAGCUCACUGGUCGAGUCGGCCUGCGCGGAAGAUGUAACGGGGCUAAACCAUGCACCGAAGCUGCGGCAGCGACGCUUAUGCGUUGUUGGGUAGGGGAGCGUUCUGUAAGCCUGUGAAGGUGUGCUGUGAGGCAUGCUGGAGGUAUCAGAAGUGCGAAUGCUGACAUAAGUAACGAUAAAGCGGGUGAAAAGCCCGCUCGCCGGAAGACCAAGGGUUCCUGUCCAACGUUAAUCGGGGCAGGGUGAGUCGACCCCUAAGGCGAGGCCGAAAGGCGUAGUCGAUGGGAAACAGGUUAAUAUUCCUGUACUUGGUGUUACUGCGAAGGGGGGACGGAGAAGGCUAUGUUGGCCGGGCGACGGUUGUCCCGGUUUAAGCGUGUAGGCUGGUUUUCCAGGCAAAUCCGGAAAAUCAAGGCUGAGGCGUGAUGACGAGGCACUACGGUGCUGAAGCAACAAAUGCCCUGCUUCCAGGAAAAGCCUCUAAGCAUCAGGUAACAUCAAAUCGUACCCCAAACCGACACAGGUGGUCAGGUAGAGAAUACCAAGGCGCUUGAGAGAACUCGGGUGAAGGAACUAGGCAAAAUGGUGCCGUAACUUCGGGAGAAGGCACGCUGAUAUGUAGGUGAAGCGACUUGCUCGUGGAGCUGAAAUCAGUCGAAGAUACCAGCUGGCUGCAACUGUUUAUUAAAAACACAGCACUGUGCAAACACGAAAGUGGACGUAUACGGUGUGACGCCUGCCCGGUGCCGGAAGGUUAAUUGAUGGGGUCAGCGCAAGCGAAGCUCUUGAUCGAAGCCCCGGUAAACGGCGGCCGUAACUAUAACGGUCCUAAGGUAGCGAAAUUCCUUGUCGGGUAAGUUCCGACCUGCACGAAUGGCGUAAUGAUGGCCAGGCUGUCUCCACCCGAGACUCAGUGAAAUUGAACUCGCUGUGAAGAUGCAGUGUACCCGCGGCAAGACGGAAAGACCCCG
rnacentral:rRNA from 1 species